rnacentral:rRNA from 1 species
GACGAGCCGUGCGAACGUUAUUCGGAAUCACUGGGCUUAAAGGGUGCGUAGGCGGGUCUUCAAGUCCGGGGUGAAAUCCCACGGCCCAACCGUGGAAGUGCCUUGGAUACUGGGGAUCUCGAGGGGGAUAGGGGCGUGCGGAACUCAGGGUGGAGCGGUGAAAUGCGUAGAUAUCAUUUGGAACGCCAACGGUGAAAACAGCUCGCUGGGGAUGUGCUGACGCUGAGACACGAAAGCCAGGGGAGCAAACGGG